CUUUAUGAGGUGCAACCAAAACAGCUGUUUGACAUAGCAACAGGGAUAUUCUGGCAGGCUGUCGAGAAUUAGUUCUUGAAUACUGUUGUGGUUUUGAUCACUAAAAUGGCUGUGACUUUUGGACUCUCUUUGAGUGUUUCUUGGAUUUGUUGCCUGCUAAUUGGAGGGAUAACUUGUUUUACACUUAAAGGUAACGCUCAUGGGCAUCCUGCCUACACUGGACCUGAACCGACUGGAUCCUAUGCCCAAGCAAGUGUGGUGUCUGGUCCAAAUGUUAAAGCUACUGGCCACAAUGCCACGUGAGCGGAAGCUACUGGCCACAAUGCCACGUGAGCGGAAGCUACUGGCCACAAUGCCACGUCAGCGGAAGCUACUGGCCACAAUGCCACGUCAGCGGAAGCUACUGGCCACAAUGCCACGUCAGCGGAAGCUACUGGCCACAAUGCCACGUCAAGUGUGAAGUCCGGCCCCUCAGCAGAAGCUUCAGGCCCCGGCGCCUCAGCAGAAGCUUCAGGCCCCUCAGCAGAAGCUUCAGGCCCCGGCGCCUCAGCAGAAGCUUCAGGCCCCGGCGCCUCAGCAGAAGCUUCAGGCGCCUCAGCAGAAGCUUCAGGCGCCUCAGCAGAAGCUUCAGGCGCCUCAGCAGAAGCUUCAGGCGCCUCAGCAGAAGCUUCAGGCGCCUCAGCAGAAGCUUCAGGCGCCUCAGCAGAAGCUUCAGGCGCCUCAGCAGAAGCUUCAGGCGCCUCAGCAGAAGCUUCAGGCGCCUCAGCAGAAGCUUUAGGCGCCUCAGCAGAAGCUUCAGGCGCCUCAGCAGAAGCUUCAGGCCCCUCAGCAGAAGCUUCAGGCCCCUCAGCAGAAGCUUCAGGCCCCUCAGCAGAAGCUUCAGGCCCCUCAGCAGAAGCUUCAGGCCCCGGCGCCUCAGCAGAAGCUUCAGGCGCCGGGGCAGAAGCUUCAGGCGCCGGGGCAGAAGCUUCAGGCGCCGGGGCAGAAGCUUCAGGCGCCGGGGCAGAAGCUUCAGGCGCCGGGGCAGAAGCUUCAGGCGCCGGGGCAGAAGCUUCAGGCCCCUCCGCAAAAGCUUCAGGCCCCUCAGCAGAAGCGCCUCAGCAGAAGCGUCCGGCCCCGGCGCCUCAGCAGAAGCGUCCGGCGCCUCAGCAGAAGCGUCCGGCGCCUCAGCAGAAGCGUCCGGCGCCUCAGCAGAAGCGUCCGGCGCCUCAGCAGAAGCGUCCGGCCCCGGCGCCUCAGCAGAAGCGUCCGGCCCCGGCGCCUCAGCAGAAGCGUCAGGCCACUCAGCAGAAGCUUCAGGCCACUCAGCAGAAGCGUCCGGCCCCGGCGCCUCAGCAGAAGCGACAAGCCUUGAACAGACGGCCAUACCACUCAACUAGGGACUAUCCCUGUUACCCUUUUCUGCUAGAGGCACAGUAAAGGUAACUGAGGUGGGGAAAUGUGCGAACUAAUGCGCUUGUUUGAAAUGAGGAUCUCCUUCACUUGUACAUCGUCAUGCAAAUUGUAUACAGAGGUGGAUGAUACAAUGUUAUGAAUCGUUUUUAUAAACAUACGACUAAAUUGACUUCUGAUGUAGCGAUAUUGCAGACACACUUUUAGGUUCUACGGUUAUGCUUUUGAUUUAGCCUGGUGUUCCUGCUACUCUUGCAUGAUUUGCUCAAUAAACCAUUUGACUUUCAAAA